rnacentral:rRNA from 1 species
AGCGAGCUUGCCUAGAUGAUUUUAGUGCUUGCACUAAAUGAAACUAUAUACAAGCGAGCGGCGGACGGGUGAGUAACACGUGGGUAACCUGCCCAAGAGACUGGGAUAACACCUGGAAACAGAUGCUAAUACCGGAUAACAACACUAGACGCAUGUCUAGAGUUUGAAAGAUGGUUCUGCUAUCACUCUUGGAUGGACCUGCGGUGCAUUAGCUAGUUGGUAAGGUAACGGCUUACCAAGGCAAUGAUGCAUAGCCGAGUUGAGAGACUGAUCGGCCACAUUGGGACUGAGACACGGCCCAAACUCCUACGGGAGGCAGCAGUAGGGAAUCUUCCACAAUGGACGAAAGUCUGAUGGAGCAACGCCGCGUGAGUGAAGAAGGGUUUCGGCUCGUAAAGCUCUGUUGGUAGUGAAGAAAGAUAGAGGUAGUAACUGGCCUUUAUUUGACGGUAAUUACUUAGAAAGUCACGGCUAACUACGUGCCAGCAGCCGCGGUAAUACGUAGGUGGCAAGCGUUGUCCGGAUUUAUUGGGCGUAAAGCGAGUGCAGGCGGUUCAAUAAGUCUGAUGUGAAAGCCUUCGGCUCAACCGGAGAAUUGCAUCAGAAACUGUUGAACUUGAGUGCAGAAGAGGAGAGUGGAACUCCAUGUGUAGCGGUGGAAUGCGUAGAUAUAUGGAAGAACACCAGUGGCGAAGGCGGCUCUCUGGUCUGCAACUGACGCUGAG